UACGAAGGGGGCUAGCGUUGCUCGGAAUUAUUGGGCGUAAAGGGCGCGUAGGCGGCUAGAUGUGUCAAAGGUGAAAUCCCUCGGCUCAACUGAGGAACUGCCUUUGAAACUGUCUGGCUUGAGGCCGGGAGAGGGUAGCGGAAUUCCCAGUGUAGCGGUGAAAUGCGUAGAUAUUGGGAGGAACACCAGUGGCGAAGGCGGCUACCUGGACCGGUUCUGACGCUGAGGCGCGAAAGCGUGGGUAGCAAACAGG
rnacentral:rRNA from 1 species